rnacentral:rRNA from 1 species
GACGAACGCUGGCGGCGUGCUUAACACAUGCAAGUCGUACGGUAAGGCCCUUUCGGGGGUACACGAGUGGCGAACGGGUGAGUAACACGUGAGUAACCUGCCCACAACUUUGGGAUAACGCUAGGAAACUGGUGCUAAUACUGGAUAUGUGCUCCUGCUGCAUGGUGGGGGUUGGAAAGCUCCGGCGGUUGGGGAUGGACUCGCGGCCUAUCAGCUUGUUGGUGGGGUAGGGGCCUACCAAGGCGGCGACUGGUAGCCGGCCUGAGAGGGUGACCGGCCACAUUGGGACUGAGAUACGGCCCAGACUCCUACGGGAGGCAGCCGUGGGGAAUAUUGCACAAUGGGCGCAAGCCUGAUGCAGCAACGCCGCGUGCGGGAUGACGGCCUUCGGGUUGUAAACCGCUUUCAGCAGGGACGAAGCUUUUUGUGACGGUACCUGCAGAAGAAGCACCGGCUAACUACGUG